ACUGUCUCUUAUAAUAAUCAAUUAAACUGAUCUCCUAGUAAAAAAGCUAGAAUAACAACAUAAGACCAGAAGACCCUGUGAAGCUUAAAUUAAACUAUUAAAUCACAUAAUAGCUACUUUCGGUUGGGGCGACCUUGGAAAAAAAAAGAACUUCCAAAUAUCAUGACUUUACCUCAUACUACUCCAACAGGCCAACAAGCCAACAAAUGACCCAGCAUAGCUGAUAAUUGAACCAAGUUACUCCAGGGAUAACAGCGCAAUCUUCUUCAAGAGCCCAUAUCAAAAAGAAGGUUUACGACCUCGAUGUUGGAUCAGGACAUCCUAAUGGUGCAGCCGCUAUUAAGGGUUCGUUUGUUCAACGAUUAAUA
rnacentral:rRNA from 1 species